rnacentral:ncRNA from 2 species
CUCUUAUCCAGAGUGGUGGAGGGAAGUGCCCUUUGAUACCACGGCAACCGUCUUACGACAAGGUGCCAAGUCACUGAAUCGAUCGAUUCGAAGAUGAGAG